rnacentral:rRNA from 1 species
GACGAACGCUGGCGGCGUGCCUAACACAUGCAAGUCGAGCGAUGAAGUUUCCUUCGGGAAAUGGAUUAGCGGCGGACGGGUGAGUAACACGUGGGUAACCUGCCUCAUAGUGGGGAAUAGCCUUUCGAAAGGAGAUUAAUACCGCAUAAGAUUGUAGUUUCGCAUGAAACAGCAAUUAAAGGAGUAAUUCGCUAUGAGAUGGACCUGCGUUGUAUUAGCUAGUUGGUAAGGUAACGGCUUACCAAGGCGACGAUACAUAGCCGACCUGAGAGGGUGAUCGGCCACACUGGGACUGAGACACGGCCCAG